UAGCCAUGCAUGUCUAAGUAUAAGCAAUUAUACCGUGAAACUGCGAAUGGCUCAUUAAAUCAGUUAUCGUUUAUUUGAUAGUACCUUACCACUUGGAUAACCGUGGUAAUUCUAGAGCUAAUACAUGCUAAAAACCCCGACUUCGGAAGGGGUGUGUUUAUUAGAUAAAAAACCAAUGCCCUUCGGGGCUCUUUGGUGAUUCAUGAUAACCUAACGGAUCGCAUGGCCUUGCGCCGGCGACGGUUCAUUCAAAUUUCUGCCCUAUCAACUUUCGAUGGUAAGGUAUUGGCUUACCAUGGUUUCAACGGGUAACGGGGAAUUAGGGUUCGAUUCCGGAGAGGGAGCCUGAGAAACGGCUACCACAUCCAAGGAAGGCAGCAGGCGCGCAAAUUACCCAAUCCCGACACGGGGAGGUAGUGACAAUAAAUACUGAUACAGGGCUCUUUAGGGUCUUGUAAUUGGAAUGAGUACAAUUUAAACCCCUUAACGAGGAACAAUUGGAGGGCAAGUCUGGUGCCAGCAGCCGCGGUAAUUCCAGCUCCAAUAGCGUAUAUUAAAGUUGUUGCAGUUAAAAAGCUCGUAGUUGAAACUUGGGUCUGGCUAGCGGGUCCGCCUCACCGCGUGCACUUGUCCGGCUGGACCUUUCCUUCUGGAGAACCUCAUGCCCUUCACUGGGUGUGUUGGGGAACCAGGACUUUUACUUUGAAAAAAUUAGAGUGUUCAAAGCAGGCCUUUGCUCGAAUACGUUAGCAUGGAAUAAUAGAAUAGGACGUGCGGUCCUAUUUUGUUGGUUUCUAGGAUCGCCGUAAUGAUUAAUAGGGAUAGUCGGGGGCAUCAGUAUUCAAUUGUCAGAGGUGAAAUUCUUGGAUUUAUUGAAGACUAACUACUGCGAAAGCAUUUGCCAAGGAUGUUUUCAUUAAUCAGUGAACGAAAGUUAGGGGAUCGAAGACGAUCAGAUACCGUCGUAGUCUUAACCGUAAACUAUGCCGACUAGGGAUCGGGCGAUGUUUCUAUCUUGACUCGCUCGGCACCUUACGAGAAAUCAAAGUUUUUGGGU
rnacentral:rRNA from 1 species